AGAGGAGCCAGCCCCGAGAAACAUGGCCGGCCAGGUGGGCUCUGCUGCAAGAGGCGUCCCAAGGUAGGCCUGGGACCACGCUCAGCCACAGGCCUCCUGAGAGGAAAGUGUUCAAAUGUGUGCCGGAAGUAGACGUGAAGACAAAACGUCCUGCGUGAUGAGUGAGGACGUCUCUGUGAUUGGCUUGUCUUUUCCUAUGGCUGCUGGGGCCCCCGCGGUGGAUUCUUUUUGGAGCAAGGACCAGCACAGCAGCAGCGAAACACAGCACGACAGAGAGGAGGUUAAAGAAACAGCACCGUGGUGAAGGGCUUGUGCUUUGCAGAGUCCUGCAAUUCAAGGACCUCAAAGAGAACCUGGUACCCCAGAGCACCCAAAGGAAGGC
rnacentral:lncRNA from 1 species